GCGGAGAGCUGGGAUGGAGCGCGCCUUGGCCCGCUGGCCUUGGCUGCAGCUCCUCGGGAGAGCCGGGGCGCCCACGCGAGAACCUCCCUACCUGAGGACGCUGGGAACACGGAUUCCUGGAUCCCACCAGCCUACGAAGAAAGCCACGGGCGGCGACCCCUGGGACCAGGACGACCAAGGAGGAGGACGACCAGAACUGACCAGCCAGCCCCCUUGGCUAAAGGCUUAGACCUGUGCCCUAGUGAGGGGGCAUUGGUCGCCAACCCCUGACCUUUGCUAUGCUUCUGCCUUGUUGCUCUGAUACUUGCCUCUAUGUCUCUGCCUGUGUUAACCUGCCAGCGCCCUGGAGGGUUGCCAUCCCCAGGGAGGUGUCAGUCUUUCUCGCUCCACUUGUUGUCGCCCGAAUGACGUCCUGAACGGAAGGGUCCCUUUGGGAACGUCUCGGGAGGCCGACCUGGGCCAAGGGCACAACCAGCAUCUCACUGGCAAUUCCAAGGCCCUGGGUGGGCUUCUGGAAUGAGCAUGAGCCCCGACGUCAUGCCACGGAACUGCCAGGGGCACCCCCCCUCCUUUGAGCUCUCCCUGUCCCUCCUGGGGGGACAGGGACGAGAAGAGCAGUCUCCCAGGGGGUUGUGAGUAUUGAAUGAGAUGAAGUCGCCUCGGGCAGGGCCAGGCAUAGAGGAGGCAGUCGGCAAAUGUUUGUUGAUAAAGUUUGGCCGAUCAGUCCAGCCCCGGCCCGCUCCCGUGUCUCACCGUCUCAUUUAUUCUCCCACAGCACUCCGGAUGGCCCCUGGCCACGGGGCUCUGCCCGCACCAGCCAAGCUUCUCGAAAGGUCUGUCUUCACUCGCUGGCUUCCUUGCUCACCUCCAAUGUCCUCUCCAACCCACUGCUUCUUGACCUCUGCGCCGUCGAGCAGCUCUCGCGAAGGUAAUGACCCCUCGUCAUCGGGUCCUGCUGGGCCUGCCCAGAUGGCUGCCCUGUCCCCCUGAGUCCCAGGCCCUGCCCCACCCCAGGCCCCGUGGCCAGUCUGGGGGCUGCCACCCGGCCUGUCGCCUCUCUUCUUGCACCUCUUCCCAUCACGGCAUCCCCAUGAGCCACCUCCCUCCACAGAAAGCCAAGCUGCAGGUCGGCCUGUCCUCGACACACUGGCAGCGAGCGUCGGCUGAAGAACCGGAUGGAAGAGGCGGGAGAGUCACCACGGACCGGCGUUCCUUCAGGUCGGUCGCCUGGCGUCUUCGGGCUGCGACUCCUUCCUGGAUCGGGCUGAAGCCAUCAUCUGUGUCCUCCGUCGGAAGGGACCUCAGACAUGUGGCUCCUGCACCCUCCAGCUCUGAAAUCGGCAGGCUAGGAUGCAAGUGGCCUUGCUGGGGGGCCCUUCCAAGGGCCGAGGGACCAGCCUCUCGAACGGGCUCGGCGCUCCAGUGACCUUCGCGUCCCCCUCCUCCUUGAAUUGUCUGGAAAACAGAAUGGACAGAUUUUCUGUCUUCAAAGUUUCCGGCUAAACCUCUUCAAAGUUCUUUAUUGUUUGGGACUGAGACACUCAGCAGUGCUAAUGGGUAGUUCCUUUUGUAUUUGCCCUGAAAGGCCAAAAUAUUUUUAUAUCGCUCC
rnacentral:lncRNA from 1 species